rnacentral:rRNA from 1 species
AGUAAAUAGAUACCCUGGUAGUCCACGCCGUAAACGAUGAGUACUAGGUGUAGGAGGUAUCGACUCCUUCUGUGCCGCAGUUAAACACAAUAAGUACUCCGCCUGGAAAGUACGGUCGCAAGAUUAAAACUCAAAGGAAUUGACGGGGGCCCGCACAAGCAGCGGAGCAUGUGGUUUAAUUCGAAGCAACGCGAAGAACCUUACCUAGACUUGACAUCCCCUGAAUAACGUAGAGAUACGCGAAGCCCUUCGGGGCAGGGAGACAGGUGGUGCAUGGUUGUCGUCAGCUCGUGUCGUGAGAUGUUGGGUUAAGUCCCGCAACGAGCGCAACCCUUAUCAUUAGUUGCUACCAUUUAGUUGAGCACUCUAGUGAGACUGCCCGGGUUAACCGGGAGGAAGGCGGGGAUGACGUCAAAUCAUCAUGCCCCUUAUGUCUAGGGCUACACACGUGCUACAAUGGUGAGAACAACGAGAUGCAAUACCGCGAGGUGGAGCAAAAACUUCAAAACUCAUCUCAGUUCGGAUUGUAGGCUGAAACUC